AAACUCACCAGCAAGCCAAGAUGCCUUGGGAAGAUGACCGUCUAGAUGAUUAAUUCAAACAAGAAGUCUUCAGAGGCAGUGAGAAGAAGCAGGAGAAUCUGGAGCAGUUCCCCUCUGUCCCAGGAAAGUGCUCUAAACUGAUAUCAAGUGCCUUGGUCAUUUACUAAUAGUAAUAGACCUUUCUUACGUCUUUCACUGGGCG
rnacentral:lncRNA from 1 species